rnacentral:snoRNA from 1 species
GUGGAGGGACGAGAUGACUCUAAUUCUUUCCCCAACUUAUCGACUCUGCUGAUACCCGAAAGUUGUUAACUGCCAGUUACUGUGUCUGAUCCUUCAUU